GAUGAACGCUGGCGGCGUGCCUAAUACAUGCAAGUCGAGCGAACAGACGAGGAGCUUGCUCCUCUGACGUUAGCGGCGGACGGGUGAGUAACACGUGGAUAACCUACCUAUAAGACUGGGAUAACUUCGGGAAACCGGAGCUAAUACCGGAUAAUAUAUUGAACCGCAUGGUUCAAUAGUGAAAGACGGUUUUGCUGUCACUUAUAGAUGGAUCCGCGCCGCAUUAGCUAGUUGGUAAGGUAACGGCUUACCAAGGCAACGAUGCGUAGCCGACCUGAGAGGGUGAUCGGCCACACUGGAACUGAGACACGGUCCAGACUCCUACGGGAGGCAGCAGUAGGGAAUCUUCCGCAAUGGGCGAAAGCCUGACGGAGCAACGCCGCGUGAGUGAUGAAGGUCUUCGGAUCGUAAAACUCUGUUAUUAGGGAAGAACAAAUGUGUAAGUAACUGUGCACGUCUUGACGGUAACUAAUCAGAAAGCCACGGCUAACUACGUG
rnacentral:rRNA from 1 species